GACGAACGCUGGCGGCGUGCUUAACACAUGCAAGUCGAACGGAAAGGCCUGCUUUCCCUUGUGGAUUGCGGGUACUCGAGUGGCGAACGGGUGAGUAACACGUGAGUGAUCUGCCCCCAACUUGGGUAUAAGCCUGGGAAACUGGGUCUAAUUCCCGAUAGGACUGCAGGGUGGUGCCUGUGGUGGCAAACGAUUUUCUAGUGGUUGGGGAUGAGCUCGCGGCCUAUCAGCUUGUUGGUGGGGUAAUGGCCUACCAAGGCGGCGACGGGUAGCCGGCCUGAGAGGGUGGACGGCCACAUUGGGACUGAGAUACGGCCCAGACUCCUACGGGAGGCAGCAGGGGGGAAUAUUGCACAAUGGGCGGAAGCCUGAUGCAGCGACGCCGCGUGGGGGAUGACGGCCUUCGGGUGGUAAACUCCUUUCGACCGCGAGGAAGCCACCUGGUUGGAAGGGUGGUGACGGUAGUGGUAGAAGAAGCACCGGCUAACUACGUG
rnacentral:rRNA from 1 species